rnacentral:rRNA from 1 species
GACGAACGCUGGCGGCGUGCCUAAUACAUGCAAGUAGAACGCACAGUUUAUACCGUAGCUUGCUACACCAUAAACUGUGAGUUGCGAACGGGUGAGUAACGCGUAGGUAACCUGCCUGGUAGCGGGGGAUAACUAUUGGAAACGAUAGCUAAUACCGCAUAAUAUUGAUUAUUGCAUGAUAAUUGAUUGAAAGAUGCUAUUGCAUCACUACCAGAUGGACCUGCGUUGUAUUAGCUAGUAGGUGAGGUAACGGCUCACCUAGGCGACGAUACAUAGCCGAACUGAGAGGGUGAUCGGCCACACUGGGACUGAGACACGGCCCAGACUCCUACGGGAGGCAGCAGUAGGGAAUCUUCGGCAAUGGACGAAAGUCUGACCGAGCAACGCCGCGUGAGUGAAGAAGGUUUUCGGAUCGUAAAGCUCUGUUGUAAGAGAAGAACGGGUGUGAGAGUGGAAAGUUCACACUGUGACGGUAUCCCACCAGAAAGAGACGGCUAACUACGUG